rnacentral:rRNA from 1 species
GACGUAGGGCGCGAGCGUUGUCCGGAUUUAUUGGGCGUAAAGAGCUCGUAGGCGGUUUGUCGCGUCGUUCGUGAAAACUCACAACUCAAUUGUGGGCGUGCGGGCGAUACGGGCAGACUGGAGUACUGCAGGGGAGACUGGAAUUCCUGGUGUAGCGGUGGAAUGCGCAGAUAUCAGGAGGAACACCGGUGGCGAAGGCGGGUCUCUGGGCAGUAACUGACGCUGAGGAGCGAAAGCGUGGGGAGCGAACAGG